rnacentral:rRNA from 1 species
UGGGGAAUAUUGGACAAUGGGCGAAAGCCUGAUCCAGCCAUGCCGCGUGUGUGAAGAAGGUCUUCGGAUUGUAAAGCACUUUAAGUUGGGAGGAAGGGCAUUAACCUAAUACGUUAGUGUUUUGACGUUACCGACAGAAUAAGCACCGGCUAACUCUGUGCCAGCAGCCGCGGUAAUACAGAGGGUGCAAGCGUUAAUCGGAAUUACUGGGCGUAAAGCGCGCGUAGUUGGUUUGUUAAGUUGGAUUUGAAAUCCCCGGGAUCAACCUGGGAACUGCAUUCAAAACUGACUGACUAGAGUAUGGUAGAGGGUGGUGGAAUUGCCUGUGUAGCGGUGAAAUGCGUAGAUAUAGGAAGGAACACCAGUGGCGAAGGCGACCACCUGGACUAAUACUGACACUGAGGUGCGAAAGCGUGGGGAGCAUACA